rnacentral:rRNA from 1 species
GCAUAUCAAUAAGCUGAGGAAAAGAAACCAACAGGGAUUCCCUUAGUAACGGCGAGUGAACCGGGAAAAGCUCAAAUUUGAAAUCUGCCAACAGGCCGAGUUGUAAUUUGUAGAUGGCUACACUGCAUAAUAGUAGAUGCUCAAGUUCUUUGGAAAAAGACAUCAUGGAGGGUGACAAUCCCGUGAGGCAUGUUACUAGGAGCAUAUAGUGGGCUUUCUAAGAGUCGAGUUGUUUGGGAAUGCAGCUCAAAGUGCGUGGUGAAUACCAUGUAAAGCUAAAUAUGGACGAGAGACCGAUAGCGAACAAGUACUGUGAAGGAAAGAUGAAAAGCACUCCGAAAGGAGAGUGAAAUAGUACGUGAAAUUGUUAAAGUGGAAGGGCUUGAGAUCAGAAUUGGUAGUUUGGGUUCCACGUCCUCUUGGGGGCGUGUACUCCCUUUCCACCGGGCCAGCGGGAGUUUCGUCUCUUGGGUAAAAGCAGUGGAAUGUAGCAGCUUGUCUGUAUUAUAGCCUCUGUUCAUACAAGACGUCGAGACUUGUUUUUGUUGGCGUAAUGAUCUCUAGCCACCCGUCUUGAAACACGGACC